CCUACGGGAGGCUGCAGUCGAGAAUCAUUCACAAUGGGGGAAACCCUGAUGGUGCGACGCCGCGUGGGGGAAUGAAGGUCUUCGGAUUGUAAACCCCUGUCAUGUGGGAGCAAAUUAUAAAGAUAGUACCACAAGAGGAAGAGAUGGCUAACUCUGUGCCAGCAGCCGCGGUAAUACCGAGGUCUCAAGCGUUGUUCGGAAUCACUGGGCGUAAAGCGUGCGUAGGCUGUUUCGUAAGUCGCGGGUGAAAGGCGCGGGCUCAACCCGCGGACGGCACAUGAUACUGCGAGACUAGAGUGAGGGAGAGGGAACCGGAAUUCUCGGUGUAGCAGUGAAAUGCGUAGAUAUCGAGAGGAACACUCGUGGCGAAGGCGGGUUCCUGGACGUUAACUGACGCUGAGGCACGAAGGCCAGGGGAGCGAAAGGGAUUAGAUACCCCUGUAGUC
rnacentral:rRNA from 1 species